GGCGAUAAUUUGGGACAGUUUGACAAAGGCCUCAUGCCUCCACAACUGGAAUGAUGAUACCAUUGGCAGAAGCGUGAAUUCUUUUUGGAAAUUUUGGUUGGAGCAAAAGGAGGAUCUGUUUGGGUUUAGACAGAGAGAACUGGAGAUGGUGAUGGGAUAAAAAGGUGGCCACAUCCAGCAGGCCAGUACCAACCAGGCAGUAAUCCAGGGUCCCUUGACCAGUCUGAUCCCUACCCUGAGCUGAGGGCUGCAACGCCUUCAAGCUUAGCAGAAAAUACUGGUCAAAGGAACAUGGAGAGAUCAGGCUGAGUAAAGCCUUUGAUGACUUCGAGGUGUCUGGUUCACCUUAUUCAAUAGAGAGUUAAACGUGCCCCCAUCUCCUCUGAGUUUUCAUAACAGGCCUGUGUGCAUCCUAUCACCAUUUGGGAGUGUGCCAUGGCCAAAAAUCCUCAUUAGCUGGAGUUUGGGGUUGUACCCAGAGCUGGUCGACCCCCGCCCCACUAGGGGGUGAAAUUUGGCCUCUUUUUCCUGUAUCUCAGAAUUUGGGGCAGGGAAGAUGUUGGGGUGCUCAUGCAUGCUCUGAGGGACUGUGACAUUGACUUCUUUGGCUCAAGCUAAGAAAGACCUUGUACUGGGUGGGACCCAUGUCUUGGCAAUCCCCUUCAAAAUGGUUUAUGAAAGCAGAAAGGUGGGGCAGCCCCCCUCACAUUUUCUGCCUUCCUCAAGGCUGGUUUUGUAACAUCUGUUCCUAUUUGAGGCUGUCUUCAGUGUUCAUUUCCACUUUAUUUUCCCUGGAUGAGCAUAUUGGAAGCAGGGGGUGGGGCAAAGGGAGCUCACAAUUACUGGUCCUGCUCCAACCCCAGGGUCCACUUCUCAGGGAGAAAGUCAACCAAUAGGGACAUGGAGAUCAGUGCAGGGCCUUUGACAUCUCCGAGAACGCUGCUGAGCAAAGCCCUUUAAUUAAGAUGUAGCCAACACAGCAGUCCUGGCAAACAUCAGUUCUGCGGCUAGCUAGGUGGGAGGGGUGCUGGCCUGGAAGAUGAUGCCAUCGUUUUCUGCGGGGCCUGGCCUGCCAUUAGGUGACUCAGUGAGUUUCCCAGCACCUUGGCCAGGAGGCAGGGACAGGAGCUGCAGCUUUUAUUAUUUUUUCCCUGUUGGGGUGGGGCUGCUCCGUCUUGGCCCUGGGUCCACAGGAAAGCCUUCAGUAAUCAUCUCCAUGCCUGUGAGCCCUGCAGAGCCCAAGAGCCUCCAUGGUGUCCCAGGCCAAAGGCUUGGGUCUGAAUCCCAGCUCCUCUUUACCUCUCUGGACCUCAUUUUUCCAAUAGGUAAAAUGGAUGUAAUAAUUCCAGCCUCACAGGCUUGUGGUGAGGGUGAAUGAGAUAAUAUAUGUAAAACGCUUGACACUGUGCUCUAGCACAAUACAUGGCAAUUAUUAUUAUUAUUAUUCUCCAUCCUUGAACUGUAGGAUAGUGGUGGUUAAUGGGAUGAGACAAUCCAGACUGGGUGGGUUUGAAUCUUGAGUCUUUCUCUUUCUAGAUGAGUGACUUUGGGCAACUUCACCUUGCAGAGUCUCAGUUUCCUUAUUUGUAAAAUGAGGAUAAUAACAGUCCCUACUCACAGGGUCCUUCUGAAGAUUAAAUAAUGCAGACCUUUAGCACAACUGCCAAUACAUACAGAUUGCUCAAAAAAGUGAACUACUACUUUGAUUAUUAUCAUUUUUCAUCCCAAUAUCCUUCAGAGUCUAGCUCAAGGUGUCAUCCUUCCCACAAACCCCAUUAACCACUUCUCUGAUCUUCAUUGAUUUGGGCACCUCUUACAAUCCAUCUUGCAUUGCUCCCAUUUAUGUCCAUCUUCAAAAGUGUAACUGGGCCUCCAGCCUCACCCUGCUGUUAACUUGAGGGCUGUCUUACACAUCAUUUUUGGGUCCCCCAACCCCCAAAUCCAAUCCCCUUUUAAACAGUUCUCUUCCUCCAAAUUUCCACUCCCUAAGCAGUUGCCCAUCCCCGUUUCUCCCCUUCUGAGCUAGUCCCCUCAGCAGAGGACUUCCCUCCAGCUCCUCUCUUCCCUUUCCAAGUCCCCUAGAGGGAAUAUAUGUAUAUACUGGAUUCUGUGGUGGUCCCAGAGGGAUGAACACACACUUAUAUACACACACGCGUGCACACACAUGCACGCAUAUGCAUGCAGCACACAUUUAUAUAAGUAAAUAUGUGCCCAGAUAUAUAAAGUAUGAAAACGGACAUAUACAAAAAUCCUUCUUGGGCCCCCAACGAAUUCAUUCAUUCAUUCAUUCAUUCAUUCAUUCUACAAAUAUUUGAACGCUCACUCUGUCGGGACCAAGCUAUCAGUUGGGAUAAACAAGGUAUAAGAGGUUUCACUUUCCAUGGAACCUUAAAUUCUAUUUGAGGAAGACAAGGACAAACACACAAUUUUGCUUGUGGAAGUGCUGGAAAGACAACAGAAGGCUUUGUGAGAGCGAUUAAGGGGACAGAAUACCAUUCUACUCUACUGGGUGAUCGAGGAUGGCCUUGGAGGUGAACUAUGUGCCGAGCUGCAUUUUAUAAACGGGAACAAUGGAACAUGGACACUUGAAGGCCUUAAGGCUGAACAACAGGAAGGCAGCCUCUCAAUUUCUCCUCUACAGCGGCGCCACUUUCCCGAACCGCAGGGUGUCUUGGAGAACCUGAAAGCCCAAAAGCGAUACGACGCGGGGUCCAAUGCGGGGGUCGGAUACGGCAGCCGAAGCGCUUGCGCGAAAGGACACCGCCUGUCUGACGUCAGCGCGCCAGUCCGGACCCGCCCCCCGUGACGCCAUCCCGACCGCCGCCCCGCCCUUCACGCCCGCGCGCUUGCGCGCAUGCUCCGAACACCGCCCCCGAGCGUCACAGAAUGGCCUCGGACACCCAGGCAGCCCCUGACGUGUCGGGGAGGAGCCGGGCGCGGAGGUUCGCGGAGUGGAGCUCAGGGCUGUGGAGGGGAGCGGAGCUGAGCGGCUGGGCGGGCCUGGCCAGGCCAGCGGAGCAGAGACUUCGGUCGAGCGGCGGCGAACAUGCGUUUUUGACACAUUGAGGUGAGGAAAUGGGGCACUGAGAGGUUGAAAAACUUGCCCAAGAUUGUCAAACUAGUUUUCUUGAUCAUGGAUGGUGAAGAUAUACCAGACUUUUCAAGUUUAAAAGAGGAAACUGCUUAUUGGAAGGAACUUUCCUUGAAGUAUAAACAAAGCUUCCAGGAAGCUCGGGAUGAGCUAGUUGAAUUCCAGGAAGGAAGCAGAGAAUUAGAAGCAGAGUUGGAGGCACAGUUAGUACAGGCUGAACAAAGAAAUAGAGACUUGCAAGCUGAUAACCAAAGACUGAAAUACGAAGUGGAAGCAUUAAAGGAGAAACUAGAACAUCAGUAUGCACAGAGCUACAAGCAGGUCUCAGUAUUAGAAGAUGAUUUAAGUCAGACUCGGGCCAUUAAGGAACAACUCCAUAAGUAUGUGAGAGAGCUGGAGCAGGCCAAUGACGAUCUGGAGCGAGCAAAACGGGCAACGAUAGUUUCACUUGAAGACUUUGAACAAAGGCUCAAUCAGGCCAUUGAACGAAAUGCAUUUUUAGAAAGUGAACUUGAUGAAAAAGAAUCUUUGUUGGUAUCUGUACAGAGGUUAAAGGAUGAAGCAAGAGAUUUAAGACAAGAAUUAGCAGUUCGGGAAAGGCAGCAGGAAGUAACCAGAAAGUCAGCUCCCAGUUCCCCAACUCUAGACUGUGAAAAAAUGGAUUCUGCUGUCCAAGCCUCACUCUCUUUGCCAGCUACUCCUGUUGGCAAAGGAACGGAAAACAGUUUUCCUUCACCAAAAGCUAUACCAAAUGGUUUUGGUACCAGUCCACUAACUCCUUCCGCGAGGAUAUCAGCACUAAACAUCGUGGGGGAUCUCUUACGGAAAGUAGGGGCUUUAGAAUCCAAAUUAGCAGCCUGUAGGAAUUUUGCAAAGGACCAAGCAUCACGAAAAUCCUAUAUUUCAGGGAAUGUUAACUGUGGGGUGAUGAAUAGCAACGGCACAAAAUUCUCUCGUUCAGGGCAUACGUCUUUCUUCGACAAAGGGGCAGUAAACGGCUUUGACCCAGCUCCUCCUCCUCCUGGCUUGGGCUCCUCUCGCCCGUCGUCAGCACCGGAGUGGUAUUCUGAAGGCAUGUGAUCUGAACUACGGAAACCUGCUGAAUCACCCUGUCAGGUGCUCUGAGAGAAAGCAAAUAGCCAAAGAACAAGGAAAAGAGCAGCAUCAGAGGACCUGUCUGCUGACCGGCCACCUGCCUGCUGUCUCUCUGUUAAAGUAAGGUUGAGACAUUAUCCAACUCAUUCUGCAAGGAAGAGUAAAAGAUGAAUCUAAUUCCACAGUAAGGAAAUAAAAAAGCGUCCAGAAUCAUUCGUAAAUGCACACGAACAGAGCAAGACUUGAGGGUGGGGGGUGAGCGUGACACUCUGGAGCUCCAGGGAGACCUUCAAGACCAGCGUCUGCGGCCUCCAGACGGGCCAACUCAGUCAGGCCCCGGCCAGCUGUGGGGGACAGUUACACGGCGUCUGUCACUGGACACGGAGAGUGACAAAGACAGACCCCAUACAGGGAGGGGUGUAAUUCAUAUUCGUACAGAACUUAAAACAGUAUUUAGCUCUUUCCUAAAGUCACUAUUUUAUCAAUUAUAUGGUAAAACUUUUUCCUCUUUUUUUCCCUUCAAUUAACGAUAGCUCUAAAUAUUUUCCAAAAAAAUCCCCACGAUAUACAAUUUUUUGUGGGAAUAAUAGGUAUUAGAAAGAGGUGGUAGAACUUGGAAGGGAUAGUGGGGCCCCUGUUGUUACUAGUUUGUGCUCCAGUCACAUUAGCAAAGGGAAGGCAAACAGAGGGCACAGCUAUACAUUAACACAAGAGAAUGAUGUUUCUAUUUUUAUUCAGUUAGCAACAUUCUUCAGAGCACGCACAAUUCAUCAAUCUUGGGGACAGUGUGGUAUAAAAGGGCUCUGACCAUUGAGUCAAGAGAGACCUACCUGUAAUUCUAGCUCUGGAAAUUGCCAGGUAUAUCACCAGAAGAAGGAAACUAAUUAGCUUCCUUGGGCCUGAGAUUCCUCACUUAUAAGAUGGGGGCUCACAGAAGGAUUAUAAAUGAGAAAGCGCCCAUGAGGUGCUCACAGGUGCUCAGCGCAGUGCAGGGGCCCAGGAAACGUCACUGCCCCCCCACUCCCCAUACAUGUACUUAAUGCCAUUUCUAAACUCUUCUUUUUUAGGAAAACCUUUACAGAUUUGUUAGAGUGCACACAUAAACACCCACUAAACAGAAUAUUUCAGUACAUGUAUGUGCAGAAAAGGGUUAACAGAGGAGGCCUGAGACUGCAGUCCUUGGAAAGGCCUGCUUGCAAGCUUGGUCCUUGGCUGGUGUCUGGGAAUUUAGAUUUGGGGCAGUUCCCCUCAUUCACUGAAUGACAAAGUGGCUCCCUGUGCCUAAAUGGUUUUUGCAAACAAUAUGGUUUAUGCUGUAUACCUGCUUUUGCCCACUGGGAGUCUGGAAUUUUGGGGUGUGCCAGGCAGAGGGUGUCUACAUGAUCAGCUCCCAAUAAAAGCCUUGAGCGCCGAGUCUCUAAGGAGCUUCUCUGGUUGACAUUUCCCACAUGCUGUCACGAUUUGUUGCUGGAGGAAUUAAGCGUGUCCUGUUCAACUCCACUGGGACAGGAUUCUUGGAAGCUUGUGCCUGGUUUCCUCAGGACUUUGCCCAUGCAGCUUUUCCCUUUCCUGAUUUUGCUUUCUAUCCUUUCAUUGCAAUAAAUCACAGACGAGUAUGACGAUAUGCUGAGGUCUCUGCAUCCUCCUGGCAAACUGCAGAACCUGGGGGUGGCCUGGGGACCUCCAGCACAAGUCUUGAAAUCUUUUUUUCAAUGCACUGACACAAAAUGUAUAACAUUACUUUUCCUACCAAUAAAUACUCAUCUACUGUAUCAUUUUUAUUGUUGUAUGGAAGACUAUUAUUGGAUACUGAAG